CCUACGGGAGGCAGCAGUGGGGAAUUUUGGACAAUGGGCGCAAGCCUGAUCCAGCAAUGCCGCGUGCAGGAUGAAGGCCUUCGGGUUGUAAACUGCUUUUGUACGGAACGAAACGGUCUGCCCUAAUACGGUGGGCUAAUGACGGUACCGUAAGAAUAAGCACCGGCUAACUACGUGCCAGCAGCCGCGGUAAUACGUAGGGUGCGAGCGUUAAUCGGAAUUACUGGGCGUAAAGCGUGCGCAGGCGGUUAUGUAAGACAGAUGUGAAAUCCCCGGGCUCAACCUGGGACCUGCAUUUGUGACUGCAUAGCUAGAGUACGGUAGAGGGGGAUGGAAUUCCGCGUGUAGCAGUGAAAUGCGUAGAUAUGCGGAGGAACACCGAUGGCGAAGGCAAUCCCCUGGACCUGUACUGACGCUCAUGCACGAAAGCGUGGGGAGCAAACAGGAUUAGAUACCCUGGUAGUCCACGCCCUAAACGAUGUCAACUGGUUGUUGGGUCUUCACUGACUCAGUAACGAAGCUAACGCGUGAAGUUGACCGCCGUCGGGAGGUACGGCCGGCCGAAGGUUAGUAAACGUUAAAAGGUAAAGUUAGUACGGCGUGAGACGUGACCGAACGGACGACGACGAGGGAGGAGG
rnacentral:rRNA from 1 species